GACAUUGAAUAUUAUUCUAUCAGGUUCUUAUGGUUUUAGAUCAUUUUAGUUGUUGUACAAAGAUUAUUUUAACAUUUUCUCUGGAAGUAUUAAUUUAGAAAGAUAAUAUGCCUCAUUGGUGUUGUGUUUUGAAGUGUGAAAUGGAAAGUAAUCGUGAUAAAGUUAGCUUUUACCACUUACCAUCAGUGCUACAUUCUAAGCACAAAACUGAACCAAUUUAACUAAAUAAGUUAUAGUUAUCAUCUGAGAGACAACAACAAUGAUAAAAUGCAAUAAAAUAUUAAGAUUUUACUAGCAAAAUGGAAAUUCCCCUGUAAUCAUCUUAUAUCUGGAAAACCAGCUGAUAAUAACAAUCCAGAUUGGGUUCCUUCAAUAAAUAUGGGGUAUAUAAACACAAUGAAAUGAGUUUCCCAAAAUCUAAAAUGGGAAUUAAGGUACCAAAGGAGAAUUAAAAGAAAAGGGUACCUACAAGAAAAAAUUGCUUUUUUAUUCCUCUUGAAAUGAUUUAUAAGACACUGGACUGUCUUAUAUUCUACAAAUACUAGAAUCAGCUGAGAGAAGUGGUCUACAAAAACCCAGGAAGGAAACGGAAUAUGUGGCUACGAAAGGCAAAAGAAAGGUUUACAAAGCAAAUGUGACACUUUUUUUGAAAUAUUUAGGAAUAUCAGUAAAUUGCAUUAAAAAAAUGUAUGAAAAGAUUUUGUUCAAUAAAAAUGUUUAUAUUUA
rnacentral:lncRNA from 1 species